rnacentral:rRNA from 1 species
CCUACGGGAGGCAGCAGUGAGGAAUAUUGGUCAAUGGUCGGAAGCCUGAACCAGCCAAGCCGCGUGAGGGAUGAAGGUCCAGAGUAUUGUAAACCUCUUUUGUCAGGGAACAAAGGCGGGUACGUGUCCCCGGAUGAGUGUACCUUACGAAAAAGGAUCGGCUAACUCCGUGCCAGCAGCCGCGGUAAUACGGAGGGUGCGGGCGUUAUCCGGAUUUAUUGGGUUUAAAGGGUGCGCCGGCGGGCUGUUAAGUCAGCGGUAAAAGCCCGGGGCUCAACCCCGGCCCGCCGUUGAAACUGGCAGGCUCGAGUGGGAGAGAAGUAUGCGGAAUGCGUGGUGUAGCGGUGAAAUGCAUAGAUAUCGCGCAGAACUCCGAUUGCGAAGGCAGCAUGCCGGAUCCACACUGACGCUGAGGCACGAAAGCGUGGGUAUCGAACAGGAUUAGAUACCCUAGUAGUC